rnacentral:ncRNA from 1 species
UCCGCGUAUCAUUUCAUUAAAACAUAGAAGAAAAGGUAUAUAGUGUUAGAGAAAGAAUCCAACACUCACCCACUAAGGAUACAACAGAACACCACACACCCAAAGGAAAAAACAAAUGCGAUCAUGACAGGACUCGAGGAAGAAGCCCCGGCUAACUCCGUGCCAGCAGCCGCGAUAAGAGGGGGCGGCAAGUAUUCUUCGGAAUGACUAGGCGUAAAGGGCACGUAGGCGGUGAAUCGGGUUGAAAGUGAAAGUCGCCAAAAAGUGGCGGAAUGCUCUCGAAACCAAUUCACUUGAGUGAGACAGAGGAGAGUGGAAUUUCGUGUGUAGGGGUGAAAUCCGUAGAUCUACGAAGGAACGCCAAAAGCGAAGGCAGCUCUCUGGGUCCACAAACUAGUGCAUUAGCAGCAUGGUCAUAGUAAAGAUAUCAGCUCCCACUAGGCACCAAAGAGCACCCUCAUU